UUGGGUUAGUCCGCAACGAGCGCAACCCUUAUCCUUGUUGCCAGCGAGUAAUGUCGGGAACUCAAAGGAGACUGCCGGUGAUAAACCGGAGGAAGGUGGGGAUGACGUCAAGUCAUCAUGGCCCUUACGAGUAGGGCUACACACGUGCUACAAUGGCAUAUACAAAGAGAAGCGAACUCGCGAGAGCAAGCGGACCUCAUAAAGUAUGUCGUAGUCCGGAUUGGAGUCUGCAACUCGACUCCAUGAAGUCGGAAUCGCUAGUAAUCGUAGAUCAGAAUGCUACGGUGAAUACGUUCCCGGGCCUU
rnacentral:rRNA from 1 species